rnacentral:lncRNA from 1 species
GAAAGGAGCCCUUCAUCGCUGGAGGAGGACAAAGAGGGGUAGGAAGCCAUUUGGCAGAAGCCUGUGGAGGGGAGUAUCACAUAGGGACUGGACUAUAUAAGUGGCUCCCAAGUUUAGCUGUGCAUCCGAAUAGCAUGGGGAGCUUUAAGAAAGGAUAACCAUCACCUGGCCCUGCCCUCAGCCAUUAUUAGGUAUCGGUUAGAGCCUGGGAAUUUAAAAAAAAACUCCCUAUGUGCAUCUGAUGUGCAACCAUAUUUGGGAAGCACUGGCCUAAAGUGGUCUUUGGGGAUUCUAGGACUCCAUCGUGAUGUAGAGUGUUGACUACUUUUCAGGAAUGUGUUGGAUUCAGCUUUUUAAUUAGGGAGAAAAAAAAUCAGAACCUCUGUAAUGGAUAUUGGGGCUGGAGCCACUGUGGGUGUUUGAAUAGAAAGCUUGAAGGGGAAAGAGUGAGAUAACACGUCAGUGUAGCAGGGGUGUGUUUACACUAGGCUGGUGGGGGAAGGGAAACUACUUCUCUUCCUCAGCAUUUUAGAACCUUAUAUGUCUAGGAAAUCGCUGAAGAAAAUUCCAGCUCUGAGAAUGAUGAACAGAUCAGCCAGAUUAAAACAAAACAAAACAACAACAACAACAAAAAAAACACGUGAACUGUCCUAUUUAUUGUACACUGAGUAUAGUCAUUAUCUGUAUUUGAACUGAAGAUGGAAAAAGGUCACACAGCACUAUGCACUUGGCUAGAUUUGCAGGGAAU